AGAGAGGUAGGGUUCCAAAAAUUCACUAUUCAUCAUCUUCUUGGAGCCAUAUCUCACUCUCCGAAGCUCCGAUUUGCGUGCCGUCAGUUUCCACGCGAAACUCUUGUCAAGCUCUUUGAUUUCAUCUGAAUAAAGUGGUACAAUCUAGCACCAGGUACUUAGUGGAUUUUGUCUUAAUCAGCUGUGGGUAAGCUUGGACUAUUGAUUGUUGAUGCUUGUUGGAGAUUGAUUGGUGGUUUGAUUGAGUUUGAGAACUUGUGGAAGCUUGGUUGAGGUCAAUUUGGUGAUUUAGCACAUAUUGGGAAUCGUCCAAGGUAUGGUUUCGGUUUUCUCUAUGUAAUAUACAAUAUUUCUGGAUACUUAGGCUAGUAGACCUUAGGAUAGGAUUGAAUUGGUUGGUAAUGAAUAUUGAUAUAUGAUGAUUUUGAUGAAGGUAUGAUUUUGAUGAAUGUUGAAGUUAAUUUAUGAUGUGAGAUUGAAAAUGAUGAAUUUGGAUAUUGAUAAUGAUUUAUGAAGUGUAUUGAUGUUGAUAAAUAAUGAGAAUAAUAAAAUGAUGCUUUGACUUGUAAUAAUUGAGAAUUGGAGGCUUGAAAGUGGGAAUUUUGGAUGGAAAUGGGUGAAAUUGUAUAUUAAUAGGUUGAGGAAUGAUUUGAGAGUAUAUGCAUAUGGUUUAGGUAUAUUAGGACUGUUUUGAAAGUGGAAUAAGCAA